rnacentral:rRNA from 1 species
CCUACGGGAGGCAGCAGUAGGGAAUCUUCCACAAUGGGCGAAAGCCUGAUGGAGCAACGCCGCGUGAGUGAUGAAGGCCUUCGGGUUGUAAAACUCUGUCAUUCGGGACGAACCGGAGUCUGAGGAAAUGCAGACUCUCUGACGGUACCGGAGGAGGAAGCCCCGGCUAACUACGUGCCAGCAGCCGCGGUAAUACGUAGGGGGCAAGCGUUGUCCGGAUUCACUGGGCGUAAAGCGCGCGCAGGCGGUGAUGUAAGUCUGAGGUGAAAACCCGAAGCUCAACUUCGGGACUGCCUUGGAUACUGCGUCACUUGAGGAUAGGAGAGGCAAGGGGAAUUCCACGUGUAGCGGUGAAAUGCGUAGAGAUGUGGAGGAACACCUGUGGCGAAGGCGCCUUGCUGGCCUAUUUCUGACGCUGAGGCGCGAAAGCGUGGGGAGCAAACAGGAUUAGAUACCCUGGUAGUCCACGCUGUAAACGAUGAGUGCUAGGUGUAGGUGGGCUCAUACCACUCUGUGCGACGACGUACGACAUAAGACACNCCGCCCGUCGGGGUAGGUACGGUCGGCGACGACGUACGAAACGUACGAAAGUAGUAAGUUAGGUUACGGCGUUGGAGGACGUUCGGCCGACGGGACGACCGACGAGGGGAGGGUAGGG